UACGGGGGGGGCAAGCGUUGUUCGGAAUUACUGGGCGUAAAGGGCGCGUAGGCGGUGCUCUAAGUCGGAUGUGAAAACUCUGGGCUCAACCCAGAGCCUGCAUCCGAAACUGGAGUGCUAGAGUUCUGGAGGGGGUAGCGGAAUUCCUGGUGUAGCGGUGAAAUGCGUAGAUAUCAGGAGGAACACCAGUGGCGAAGGCGACUACCUGGCCUGUUCUUGACGCUGAGGCGCGAAAGCUAGGGGAGCAAACGGG
rnacentral:rRNA from 1 species